UUCAGCCCCUUCAUAGAACAGUUCUGAAUCAAGGACAUAAAAUCAAGCCUAGGAUUAUUUGGUUCUUUUGGUAAUUUUUGGCAGUUUUAACUGACUUCUCAUUGUUUGACUUAGUCUUCAAAAAAAUAACAUUCUUUUUUACAGUAUUGUGUGUUAUCUUGUAAUAUGUUAUUAUAUGCUGCUGUUUUAGAAAAAAGUCAUACCUGAAAAUGUUUUUUUAAAUCCAAACAUUACAAAGGGUAAACAGUGAAGAGUGAUUCUCCUUCUUAUUUGUGACUGUCAGUUCUCCAAUUUCCCUCCCUGAGUGAACCACUUUUAAUAGUUAAUAUCCAGAUAUUCCAUGCACAUGUAAGUAAUAGUUCUCUUAAAACAUUAAUAUUUAUGUAGUAUGUAUUCUUUGACAUCACUUGAAAGUAGCAAACCAUGGUUGAGUUUCUAAAUGUAUAAUAUUUAUAUUUUCAUGGGUCUAGGGAGAAGAGACUUGCUAAGAAAUACUAUGAUAAAUUAUUUAAGGAAUACUGCAUAGCAGAUCUCAGUAAAUAUAAAGAAAAUAAGUUUGGAUUUAGGUGGCGAGUAGAAAAAGAAGUAAUUUCAGGAAAAGGUCAAUUUUUCUGUGGAAAUAAAUAUUGUGAUAAAAAAGAAGGCUUAAAGAGUUGGGAAGUUAAUUUUGGUUAUAUUGAGCAUGGUGAGAAGAGAAAUGCACUUGUUAAAUUAAGGUUAUGCCAAGAAUGUUCCAUUAAAUUAAAUUUCCAUCACAGGAGAAAAGAAAUCAAGUCAAAAAAAAGAAAAGAUAAAACCAAAAAAGACUGUGAAGAGUCAUCACAUAAAAAAUCCAGAUUAUCUUCUGCAGAAGAGGC
rnacentral:lncRNA from 10 species